rnacentral:misc_RNA from 1 species
AUGCCUCUGUGGACAACAACUUUCUCGUAGACUUAGACUUGAAAUUGCAACUUCUUGCAAGUUCCUCAUUAACGGGGAAUACUUUCAAGUGACAAUCACUUUCAGAUGUUUCAUGCUUAUCCAAGUCAUCACAAAUAGUAGUAAGAACACAGGGUGUUUCAUCAUAUCCUAUCAGUUUAGCUUCCAUCUUAAUAGCUGCUUUCAGCACUUGCUCCAGUGAUUUAGACUUGGGCCUGUAGCCUUGAGCCUUCGGACAAGAUGGCUCUUCACCCAGCCUUCUCGUAGAAUCUGGUCUGCCAAUGAAAUUUACAUAUCUAGUAAUUGACUCACGGAGGUCGCUAGAAUCACAAAGUAUAUGACUGUGGAAGCUUUGACGUACUGCAACAACUGCAAAGGUAUUGUUGUUUACAGAAAUUGAUCUCAGAUCAGUCAACUGGCCAGGCUUCAGUUUUGGGUACACAGAGUACAGAUAAGAUGUGAUCAAAUAAUCAAGGACAGCAUCUCCAAGAAACUCCA